UGACACAAAUGGUAGCACGAGGUUCUCACUUUUACAUUCAAUAGUUGAUUCUCCUGGAUGGACUGUGACUCCUCAAAGGUUGCAAAGAGAGUGCCUGUGUGCUGCCGUGGGGCCAGGGAAUCGCUCUUCUGCUCUCCAGGAACAAUUGUCAAUGCUGCACCUAAUUCUGCUCAUUUUCACUGGCUUCACCUGAGGGACAAAGAUGACCACAACUUUUCUGUUGGGAAACUUUAGAUGUUUGUUUGCUAACAAGUGACGUG